GCUCAUAAAAUAAAAUUCACCCAAAUAUUCCCCGUGCAUGAAACGCAAAGGGAUAAUUUUUCGGCUGAAGGCAAGCUGUCCUCUGCAAAUUGUUGAAUUAUAUAUAAGCAUGCAUAUCAGAAAGACACAGCAAAUGUGCCACAAAAUUGCGCCAAUGAUGAAAGCCAAAGUUCUUCUUACGACGCCCCAUAAAAAUGAUGGCAAUGCCCUCAGAUGCCCCUAAUUGAGUGGGAAAAAGGAAUUUUUCCAUUUGUCUGCGUAGCGUCUGGAAAUGUACGUUUAAAAAUUUAUACUCGUAACUGCGACAAGUUCUAAGGACCCCCAAAUAUAACGCAGCAAGUGCAAAGCCAAC